UACGUAGGGACCAAGCGUUGUUCGGAUUUACUGGGCGUAAAGGGCGCGUAGGCGGCGUGUUUAAGUCACUUGUGAAAUCUCUAAGCUUAACUUAGAAACGGUCAAGUGAUAACUGAUGUGCUAGAGUGCAGAAGGGGCACCGGAAUUCUUGGUGUAGCGGUGAAAUGCGUAGAUAUCAAGAGGAACACCUGAGGUGAAGACGGGUUGCUGGGCUGACACUGACGCUGAGGCGCGAAAAGCUAGGGGUAGCAAAACGGGG
rnacentral:rRNA from 1 species